UGGGGUUGUGGCUCAGUGGUAGAGCACUCACCUAGCAUGUGCGAGGCACUGGGUUCCAUCCUCAGCACCACAA
rnacentral:tRNA from 1 species